AUAUUAUAAAAUGGCAUUUUACUUCGUUUCCAUAUUUUAUCACGUCUUUUAAAGAUUUAAUCAUUACUAAAUUUAUUUAUUUUUAACUUGGCUUUUUUUACACGGAAUUAUAACGAAGUGUUUUUGAUGUGAUAUAAUCAAGUUUAAUGGAAAAUAAGUUUGUCACUCUGUAACAUCAAAUGGUUGUGUUACGUCUUAUCAUUGCAAGGAUCAACGCAGGAAUAAAAGCGUAAUGUAUAACGUAUAUCAAGGAGCAACAGUGAUGUAACUAUGUAUUUGAGACCUGGAGUCAAUGUUGAGAUUAUUCUAUUUAGAACAACUUAAGGUUGUUCUAAUUAUUUAUACUAGCAGACAUUAUGAUACAAACUGGAUUAAAAUAUGUUGAAUGAGAUUUAUUCUCCUAAAAUUUUAAAUAAUGUAUU